UAACAAAUCUAUUGAGUGCUUCUAAGCAAGUUUUGUUGGUUUUAGCCUCUUUUGGCCGAAAAUGGGUAUAAGUGUUAUCUAAACACUCCUAAUCCAUCUCUAACUCUUAUAAUUAGUCGAAUGCAUUGGAUUGUGAUACAUUUUGACCAUAUAAACACUAACAAAGCUAUUUAGUGCUUCUAAGCAAUAUUUUGGUUGUUAUAGCUUCUUUAGGGAGAAAAUGGGUAUAAUUAUUGUCUAAACACUCCUAAUCCAUCUCUAACUCUAUAAUUAGUCCAAUGCAUUGGAUUGUGAAACAUUUUGACUAUAGAAACACUAACAAAUCUAUUGACUGCUUUUAAGCAAAUUUUUUUGGUUUUAGCCUCUUUUGGGAGAAAAUAGGUAUAAGUGUUGUUUAAACACUCCUAAUCCAUCUCUAACUGUUAUAAUUAGUCAAAUGCAUUGGAUUGUGAUACAUUUUGACCAUAUAAACACUAACAAAGCUAUUUAGUGCUUCUAAGCAAUAUUUUGUUGGUUAUAGCUUCUUUAGGGAGAAAAUGGGUAUAAUUAUUUUCUAAACACUCCUAAUCCAUCUCUAACUCUAUAAUUAGUCCAAUGCAUUGGAUUGUGAAACAUUUUGACUAUAGAAACACUAACAAAUCUAUUGACUGCUUUUAAGCAAAUUUUUUUGGUUUUAGCCUCUUUUGAGAAAUGGGUAUAAGUGUUGUCUAAACACUCCUAAUCCAUCUCUAACUGUUAUAAUUAGUCAAAUGCAUUGAAUUGUGAUACAUUUUGACCAUAUCGUCAAAAUCUAUUGAGUUGUUCUAAGCAAGUUUUGUUGGUUUUAGCCUCUUUUGGGAGGAAAUGGGUAUAAGUAUUGUCUAAACACUUAUUAUCCAUCUCUAACUCUUAUAUUAGUCAAUUGCAUUGGAUUGUGAUACAUUUUGACCAUAGAAACGCUAACAAAUCUAUUGACUGCUUCUAAGCAAGUUUUGCUUGUUUUAGCCUCUUUUGGGAGAAAAUGGGUAUACGUCUUGGCUAAAGACUCCUAAUCUAUCUCUAACUCUAUCAUUAGUCAAAUGCAUUUGA
rnacentral:sRNA from 1 species